rnacentral:rRNA from 1 species
AGGAUGAACGCUAGCGGCAGGCCUAAUACAUGCAAGUCGAACGGUGGUUAGCAAUAGCCAUAGUGGCGCACGGGUGCGUAACACGUAACUAACCUACCUAUACCUGGGGGAUAGCCCGCCGAAAGGCGGAUUAAUACCGCAUAAGGCUUUAGACUGGCAUCGGUUUUUAGUUAAAGAUUUAUUGGGUAUAGAUGGGGUUGCGGGUCAUUAGCUAGUUGGUAAGGUAACGGCUUACCAAGGCGACGAUGACUAGGGGAGCUGAGAGGCUGGUCCCCCACACGGGCACUGAGAUACGGGCCCGACUCCUACGGGAGGCAGCAGUAGGGAAUAUUGGGCAAUGGGCGAGAGCCUGACCCAGCCAUGCCGCGUGCAGGAAGAAGGCUUUCUGAGUCGUAAACUGCUUUUGAUAGGGAAGAAUAAGGCUUACGUGUAAGCUGAUGACGGUACCUACAGAAUAAGCACCGGCUAACUCCGUGCCAGCAGCCGCGGUAA